rnacentral:rRNA from 1 species
UACGUAGGUGGCGAGCGUUGUCCGGAUUUACUGGGCGUAAAGGGAGCGUAGGCGGCUUAUUAAGUCUGGUGUAAAAGGCAGUGGCUCAACCAUUGUAUGCAUUGGCAACUGGUAGACUUGAGUGCAGGAGAGGAGAGUGGAAUUCCAUGUGUAGCGGUGAAAUGCGUAGAUAUAUGGAGGAACACCGGUGGCGAAAGCGGCUCUCUGGCCUGUAACUGACACUGAGGCACGAAAGUGCGGGGAUCAAACAGG